rnacentral:rRNA from 1 species
UACCAGCUCUCCGAGUGGUGUGGAUGUUUAUUGGGCCUAAAGCAUCCGUAGCUGGCUAAGUUAGUCCCUUGUUAAAUCCACCGAAUUAAUCGUUGGAUUGCGGGGGAUACUGCUUGGCUAGGGGACGAGAGAGGCAGACGGUAUUUCCGGGGUAGGGGUGAAAUCCUAUAAUCCCGGGAAGACCACCAGUGGCGAAGGCUGUCUGCUAGAACGCGCCCGACGGUGAGGGAUGAAAGCUGGGGGAGCGAACCGGAUUAGAUACCCGGGUAGUCCCAGCUGUAAACGAUGCAGGCUAGGUGUUUGGACGGCCACGUGCCGUUCUAGUGCCGCAGGGAAGCUGUUAAGCCUGCCGCCUGGGGAGUACGAUCGCAAGAUUGAAACUUAAAGGAAUUGGCGGGGGAGCACCACAAGGGGUGAAGCUUGCGGUUUAAUUGGAGUCAACGCCGGAAAUCUCACCGGGAGCGACAGCAGUAUGAAGGCCAGAUUAAAGGUCUUGCUAGACGAGCUGAGAGGAGGUGCAUGGCCGUCGCCAGUUCGUGCCGUGAGGUGUCCUGUUAAGUCAGGCAACGAUCGAGACCCGCGUCCUCUGUUGCAACUAGCUUUGAGCUGGGCACACUGAGGAGACCGCCACUGAUAAAGUGGAGGAAGGAGCGGGCCACGGCAGGUCAGUAUGCCCCGAAUCUCCCGGGCCACACGCGAGCUGCAAUGGCAGGUACAAUGGGUUCCGACCUCGAAAGGGGAAGGCAAUCUCGAAAGCCUGCCGUAGUUGGGAUCGAGGGCUGCAACCCGCCCUCGUGAACAUGGAAUCCCUAGUAAUCGCGUGUCAUUAGCGCGCGGUGAAUACGUCCCUGCUCCUUGCACACACCGCCCGUCGUUCCAUCCGAGCGACUUUUGGGUGAGGCGCCGUCUUUCAUGGCGGCAUCGAAUCUAAGUUUCGUAAGGAGGGAA